UUCUGCACCUUGGUUUCUGGUGCCAUUACAACUCUGCUUUCUACUUCAUAAACCAGAGAGAAACAUGGCCUUUUUUUAAAAUUGGAGGGAAAAGAAGGAAUGACCCGUUGAAUAGCUAUUCAAGGAUUGCCUGGAUCUCAAACCUGCUUUUUUAUUUGUCUGUUUGUUCGUAUCUGCCGCAAUCUACAAAAAGGAUAGAAAGACAAAGACCAAAAAAGGCUCCCCUACAGAUUCAAACACACUCUUUUAUGUUAUUUUUAAAGCUUUUAUUAUGUAUAUAUUAUUAUCAACAAGCCUUCUGGACCCUAAUUUUUCUCAAAGCAAGACAGCUGCCAUUGAGAGUACAAACAAGAAAAGGGAAAGUCCUAGCAACAAUACUGAGAAAAUUCUAUUGGCAUUCUGAUACAAAAGAAUCAUGAGGAAGAAAAUGUUUCCCAUUGCAGUAUGCUUUCUCUAAUAAGGACCCUCUAUUGAGCCUACAAGGAUUUUGAGUAUCCCUCCUCUUCACUUACUCCCCCA